rnacentral:rRNA from 1 species
GACGAACCGUGCGAACGUUAUUCGGAAUCACUGGGCUUAAAGCGCGUGUAGGCGGCUGGGGACGUCGGUUGCUGAAAUCCCCCGGCUCAACCGGGGAACGGGCACCGAAACGCCCCGUCUCGAGGGACGUAGGGGGACCUGGAACUUCCGGUGGAGCGGUGAAAUGCGUUGAGAUCGGAAGGAACGCCCGUGGCGAAAGCGAGGUCCUGGACGUCUUCUGACGCUGAGACGCGAAAGCUAGGGGAGCGAACGGG